UACGAAGGGUGCAAGCGUUAAUCGGAAUUACUGGGCGUAAAGCGUGCGUAGGCGGUUGGCUAAGUCAGAUGUGAAAGCCCUGGGCUCAACCUGGGAAUGGCAUUUGAAACUGGCUGGCUAGAGUGCGGUAGAGGAUGGCGGAAUUCCCGGUGUAGCGGUGAAAUGCGCAGAUAUCAGGAAGAACACCCGUGGCGAAGGCGGCUCUCUGGGACGGUACUGACGCUGAGACGCGAAAGCGUGGGGAGCGAACAGG
rnacentral:rRNA from 1 species